rnacentral:rRNA from 1 species
GAUGAACGCUGGCGGCGUGCCUAAUACAUGCAAGUCGAGCGAACAGACGAGGAGCUUGCUCCUCUGACGUUAGCGGCGGACGGGUGAGUAACACGUGGAUAACCUACCUAUAAGACUGGGAUAACUUCGGGAAACCGGAGCUAAUACCGGAUAAUAUAUUGAACCGCAUGGUUCAAUAGUGAAAGACGGUUUUGCUGUCACUUAUAGAUGGACCCGCGCCGCAUUAGCUAGUUGGUAAGGUAACGGCUUACCAAGGCGACGAUGCGUAGCCGACCUGAGAGGGUGAUCGGCCACACUGAAACUGAGACACGGUCCAGACUCCUACGGGAGGCAGCAGUAGGGAAUCUUCCGCAAUGGGCGAAAGCCUGACGGAGCAACGCCGCGUGAGUGAUGAAGGUCUUCGGAUCGUAAAACUCUGUUAUUAGGGAAGAACAAAUGUGUAAGUAACUAUGCACGUCUUGACGGUACCUAAUCAGAAAGCCACGGCUAACUACGU